GGCCUCAUAGUUCAAUGGAUAGAACAAAAGUUUCCUAAACUUUAGAUGUGAGUUCGAUUCUCGCUGGGGCUACAA
rnacentral:tRNA from 1 species